GAUGAAGAACGCAGCGAAAUGCGAUAAGUAAUGUGAAUUGCAGAAUUCAGUGAAUCAUCGAAUCUUUGAACGCACAUUGCGCCCUCUGGUAUUCCGGGGGGCAUGCCUGUUCGAGCGUCAUUAUAACCACUCAAGCUCUCGCUUGGUAUUGGGGUUCGCGGUUUCGCGGCCCCUAAAAUCAGUGGCGGUGCCUGUCGGCUCUACGCGUAGUAAUACUUCUCGCGAUUGAGUUCGAUAGGUCUACUUGCCAGUAACACCCAAUUUUUACAGGUUGACCUCGGAUCAGGUAGGGAUACCCGCUGAACUUAAGCAUAUCAAUAAGCGGAGGA
rnacentral:misc_RNA from 1 species